UCCCUGGUGGCUCAACAGUAGAGUCUGCCUGCAAUACAGGAGAUCCGAGUUCAAGCCCUGGCUAGGGAA
rnacentral:tRNA from 1 species